GAUGAACGCUGGCGGCGUGCUUAACACAUGCAAGUCGAACGAUGAAGCCCAGCUUGCUGGGUGGAUUAGUGGCGAACGGGUGAGUAACACGUGAGUAACCUGCCCUUAACUCUGGGAUAAGCCUUGGAAACUGGGUCUAAUACCGGAUAGGAGCGUCCACCGCAUGGUGGGUUUUGGAAAGAUUUAUCGGUUUUGGAUGGACUCGCGGCCUAUCAGCUUGUUGGUGAGGUAAUGGCUCACCAAGGCGACGACGGGUAGCCGGCCUGAGAGGGUGACCGGCCACACUGGGACUGAGACACGGCCCAGACUCCUACGGGAGGCAGCAGUGGGGAAUAUUGCACAAUGGGCGCAAGCCUGAUGCAGCGACGCCGCGUGAGGGAUGACGGCCUUCGGGUUGUAAACCUCUUUCAGUAGGGAAGAAGCGAAAGUGACGGUACCUGCAGAAGAAGCACCGGCUAACUACGUG
rnacentral:rRNA from 1 species